UCUGGGUGGGACAGGAAGGUGCAGCCCCAGCCUGGAGCCAUCCUCCCCACACAGCCUCUCCCCAGGGCUGGGGCUCUGCCCUGGUGAUUGAGGGAGGAGACUUUGUCCCCUCCCCGGGCACCCAAGCACCGACCUCCUGCUCUGCAGAGGCAGCAAACCCACCACAGCACCCUCUGAGGCCAGGGGACAAGAAGGAACAUGCACAGCCCUUCAGAAACUCCGGCUGGGCACAUUGCUGAGAACCUUCUCAAAGCCAAAGAAAUAGCCCUCAGUGACUCUCAUGUACCUGAACAGCUCAGGAAUUACUUACAAAAAGCUCUUGAUGUUGCUCUUGGACUAGACCCUUACCUGGAUGCAAUGGCAGCUUCCAAGAGAAAAACUUCACCUGAGCACAUCCCAGGGGAUGCUGAAGGAGUUGAAAGCAGUGUCAGGCUGCAGGAAACACG